rnacentral:rRNA from 1 species
GAAUUCGCUAGUGAUUCAGGCCUAACACAUGCAAGUCGAGCGGUAGAGAGAAGCUUGCUUCUCUUGAGAACGGCGGACGGGUGAGUAAUGCCUAGGAAUCUGCCUGGUAGUGGGGGAUAACGUUCGGAAACGGACGCUAAUACCGCAUACGUCCUACGGGAGAAAGCAGGGGACCUUCGGGCCUUGCGCUAUCGGAUGAGCCUAGGUCGGAUUAGCUAGUUGGUGAGGUAAUGGCUCACCAAGGCGACGAUCCGUAACUGGUCUGAGAGGAUGAUCAGUCACACUGGAACGGGGACACGGUCCAGACUCCUACGGGAGGCAGCAGUGGGGAAUAUUGGACAAUGGGCGAAAGCCUGA